AGUUUGGAAACUUUAAAUCCUUUGGUUUGUAUCAAGAAAUUUACAACCUUGCAACUGGUCUUCUCUUAAUUAUAACGUGGUUUAAAAUUUUCAAAUACGUCCGUUUCGGCACCAUAUUCCAAUCCAGCAUGACGUUUAAGAGGUGCUGCGGUUAUAUUGCUGUCUUUUCAGUUUUCUUCCUCAUUCAUUAUGUCACAUUCUUACAGAUUGUGUACGAACUGUAUUGAACACAGGUGGACAAGUAGAUUUCAGCGGGAGCAGAUAAAAUGAAGAAACUUUACUUGGCAAUAGAUA